CAAUUGUCAUGUAGUUGAAUUGAAUUUGCUCAUCAAUUUCUAUGUUAUUUCAGCAACAAUAAGGACAACAAAGACUUUUACUGAUAUUCCUUUGUCAUUGAAGAUUUUGUGAUACAAAGAUCUUCCAGGUAUUUCAAGACUUUUAUUGAUACACCUUUGUCCUUGAAGAUUCUGCGACACAAACAACUUCCAAGUUUUUCAAGUGCAGAAGAGAGAGCUAUUGGCUUUCAAUAAGCAGAGCAACGGCCACAAGUUUCUUAAAAUUGUCAAAUAUCAG